rnacentral:rRNA from 1 species
UACGUAGGUGGCUAGCGUUGUCCGGAUUUACUGGGCGUAAAGCGCGCGCAGGCGGUCGUUCAAGUCGAGUGUGAAAGCCCCCGGCUCAACUGGGGAGGGUCACUCGAUACUGUUCGACUUGAAGGCAGAAGAGGGAAGCGGAAUUCCCGGUGUAGUGGUGAAAUGCGUAGAUAUCGGGAGGAACACCAGUGGCGAAGGCGGCUUUCUGGUCUGUUCUUGACGCUGAGGCGCGAAAGCUAGGGUAGCAAACGGG